AGUUGAAUCCCUGGGUCAUAUGGUAGCUCUAUCUUUAACUUUUUGAGGAACUGCCAAGAUGUUUUCUAAAGCAUCUGUACCAUUAUAUAAUCCCAUCAGUAAU
rnacentral:pre_miRNA from 1 species